GUCUACAUGGUUCAGUGGUUUGAGUGUUGGACUAAGACUCUGGAGAUCAGGGUUCAAAUCCCAUCUCAGCCA